rnacentral:lncRNA from 1 species
UCACUCGGAAGCCUAGAAGCUGUAGACUGACCCCGUCAACACAGAGGCCCUUUAAGACAGUGCCGACCACUCUUACCGUGGAAUAGUAGCGUUUGCUGGUGGGAAUGUUAGCCUCCUAGAGUCACCAAAUACUGUAUGUGGGAUAAUCACUGAGCCUUGAACUGCCUCAUGAAAUGACUUUAUAUUUUAGGACAUGGGAAGAACAGAAGACAGAGCAUGCUCUUUUAAGUCUGGUAGCUUGGUCUCAAGCCCAGCCCCAGCCUUUCUUACCAGCCAUGGACUCAGAGCUGAAGGCAGUCAUUUCUUGUGCUGGACUUGGGAUCUCCGUGUGUCUGCACUGUCCUCUUCCCAGUGGAGUCUUUUUAUUUCAGACCUACAGAUUGUUUUUAUAUUUCUUGUCACAGUGUGACAAUUUUUUUUUUUUUUUUUGUACAGUUGGUUUUAAGGUCUUCUCUGCCUGUAGAGCCAGGAGGUUACAGCUCUCAAUGUAACUGUGGCUGCAGAUUUGUGCAGGACUGAGAAACACAGUGCAUUAUUUAUUGUGGAAUCAUUGCUGCUAAAUAA